rnacentral:rRNA from 1 species
UACAGAGGUGCCGAGCGUUAGGCGGAAUCACUGGGCUUAAAGCGUGUGUAGGCGGACUUCUAAGUACCUUGUGAAAUCCCACGGCUCACCCGUGGAACUGCUGGGUAUACUGGUCGUCUUGAGCCACCUAGGGGCCAGCGGAACAAAUGGUGGAGCGGUGAAAUGCGUAGAUAUCAUUUGGAACGCCAACGGUGAAAACAGCUGGCUGGGGGUGUGCUGACGCUGAGACACGAAAGCGUGGGGAGCAAACAGG